CUGAGCGAUGAAUGCAACCCCACCUUUUGGCAUUCUCUCAAGGACUGCAGAAAAGCCUUCAGCUGGUCUUUUGAUGAUCUCUGGAUGGGGAAACUGAGGCACCAAAAGAUUGAGUACAUUUUCCAAUACAGCUAAUAAGCAGCGGGGUGAGGGUUUGAACGCAGGCCCUCUGGCUUCAGAAUCUAGCCUUUCUCCAUUCCACUCCUAAUGCUUCUGGAGGAUGAGUGAGUUUAACGAGUGACUGUGAGGCCUCUCAAGCCACGUGGAACUAUGGAGUCUCAAUAUGUUGCCCAGGCUGGAGUGCGGCGGUGCCAACAUAGCUAAUUGCAGCCUUGAACACCCAGGCUCAAAUGAUCCUCCCACCUCAGCCUCCCAAGUAGCUGGGACUACAGGUACCCCUUGCCUCUGUGGGUAGCAGAGAAGUGCCUCAUGUGUCCGAAGACUGCAGAAGUCUGCUUCACUGGUCACCUGUCUGUCGGCAGUGGUCUACACGUCUUCAAACCCCUGAGCUGAGGUUUAUCGUGGUCAAGGGGCAAGAUCAUGGCUAUCAGAGCCACCUUGGUCUGGAUUCAAGUCCCAGCUAUGCAACUUACUGGCUAGGUGAUGUUAGACUGGAAGAUGAGAGGCACAGCUGAGUCCUGGAGCAGACUGAGCCACCUAAGAGGGGAGGAACCGCUGCAGAGAAACCGUGUUAAGCCUUUUUGAAGUUCCAGGGGGAGAACAAGAGAGCGGAGGCUCCUGGUGGCUGGUGACAGGUGCUGAUUUGUUCUGGGGAAAGAGCACAGAAAAGUGCCUGGAGAGGAGGCGGGGCCAGAAUGGGAUGUAGGCGAUGGGAAGGACUCUCAAGACACAGUCCUGGGCUCGCAGGCAGGACCAGUUCUCAAACCUGUCCCCGCAGGAGCCUGCAGAGCCACUGCCCUGACAGGGGACACCUCACCUCCUCUCCUUGCAGCUGCUCUUGGCUGGGAGAGCAGAGAACAGGGGACAGGAGAGAAGUCCCCAGAGUACUGAAGCUGAGGCUGGGGCGGUCUUCACUUCCCUCUUUCCUCGGCCCUUUUCCUGUUCUCUUGUCUUUUCUCUCUUUCUCUACUUUCCUUCUCCCUAGCCCAGUCUCUCACCUCUCUUCAGCCUCUGGGCCUUUCCUUCUUCCUCUCUUGCCCUCAUUCUUCCUUCUCUGUCCCUCUGGUCUUCUCUUUUACCUCCUCUCUUCUUCCCUCCUUCCUACAGUUAUGCCCUCUUCCCUCCUUUCUCCUGUCCCCAACCAGGGCAUUAGAAAUGCAUCCCAGUUACACUGAUCUGAUCACUGCAUAUUGUAUGCAUGCAUCAAAAUAUCACAUGUACCCUAGAAAUAUGUAAAUUACUGCAUAUCAAUAAAAAGAAAUGUAGCUUCUUUGCCUCACAUACAGAAAAGCCAAUCUGAAGUAUAAAUAAAUAAACAAACAAAUAAAUAAAACAAACCACACUGGCCCCCCUACACCCCCACCUCCCAGCCAUCAUCUGGGCCUGCCACUAUUUGCUCAGGGUAUCUAAACAUCAGCCAAAAUCAAAGAAAAAGUUUUAAAAUUUAUUGUUAAAAAUUUCCAAGGCUAAGUAGACAUGCAUGCACAAUAGCAUUUCCCAAACUGUGACUUAAUAAAUUCCAAGCCUUCAAGUUGGG